UCCUACGGGCAGGGAGGUGUGGGAUGUUGUGCAGUGUUGUUCAAUCUCCCGCCAAUAUUGCACUCGUCCCGGCCUCCCUGAC
ensembl:miRNA mir92b microRNA 92b